AUGCAGCUGGGGCUGGGGUCGAGGGCCCUGAGAAGCCGGUGUGUCGGGCCCGGAGGGCAGUGUGUGCGGAGGCGGGGCCUGAGCACAGCCCAGGCUGCAGAGCUUCCCAGGGCUGCUCCGGGGACGGGGACGGGGACGCAAUGGCUCUCUCCUUCUUGCACUUUGGAAGGCGACGUCCCAGAGUUGGGCUCUUUCCAGAACAGGUCGUUUCGCUGGCAGCAGAACAUGGGUGAAGGAUCGGAUGGGCAAGGCUGGGGGCUAGAAAGCAGGGGAUCCAGCGUCCAGUGUCCAGUUCGUGCCUCCCGCCCACCCCACGGGUUGAGAGAGGAGCAGAUCCUGGGAAGGAGCGAAGUUUGCCUGGAUGGGCCUUGUGCGGCUCUGGGGAAGAGAGGAUGUCACUCAAAGUUCCGAGGCUGCGGGGGAGUCCUGACGUCUAAGCUUCCUCGGAUGAGGAGGGUAUUUCAAUUCCCUGUCCAGAGGUUCCUCAGGCAAGCUGCGGGAGAGGCCUGCGUGUGGUGAAGCGGCGAGGGUUAGAUGGGGAGAGGAUGUGGCGGGGGACCCGGAGAGCGGACACAGGGAGGGACCGGAGGGUGUGGGGAGAGCUGAGAGGUCGAGGUGGAGGUGACCCUGGGGUGGGCUUCAAGGGAGGAAGGGAGGACAGUGUGCGUCUGGGGGGAGACUGGCGGUGGCGGGGGCGGGCUUCCCAGCCCAGGAGGGUUGUGAGAGCCCAGCCGGGGCGAAGGGUGGUGAGUGAAGCUGGCGAGCGGGUAGGGCUGGAAAGAGGGUCGAGGGAAGGCGGAGCGAGGCCCAGGCUUUUGCAGAGUCCCGCUGCCCCUGCCGGGGCUGAGCCCCAAGCGGUUGGCUCCCAGGGCAUGGUGUGGGUCCGAUCACUUCAGCAUAGUCCCCCUGGCCGAGCUGGAGACAAAGCCACACAUAGUCCUGGCCUCCUCGGCCCAGGCCUCCUCCGGCCCCGCCAGCACAUUCCCAAGUGGGAUGCUCCAAGGCUCUGGGCCCACGUGAAGGAGAAGGAGGCCCCUGGGAGGAGCUGAGCGGUUGCACGUGGGCAGGGAGGUGAGGAGGGCACAGGGUGCGCGGCAGGGAAUGCAGGGCCGGCUUGAGCCCAAAGGGUGCCGGAGGAGACACGCAGAGGAGGGCUGAGGGUCGAGGCCCGUGCCCUGGAAUGCCUGGUGUUCCGCUCCCGGGUGUGGGGGGCCUGUCAGGCUUGACAGCGUUUGGACCCCCACUUUUCUUUCCUUCCCUUCCCUAGAACAGAGCUCCAUGCAAGCCUGUGCUGUGGCAAGCGUCCAGCCGCAGCCCGUGGAGUCCGCAUUCUUUCACUAGAGGGCGGUCAGCUGUGAAAGCACCUGGGAUCCCGAGAGGGGGCCUGAGAGGCAGGGGUGGAGAUGUGGCCCGAGGGACGGAGAGUCUCCUGGCCUCCGGGAGCCUUGAGCAUACUGCUCUUCCAGCUGCCUGAGCAGGUGCCCACAGGGUUUCGGAGACCUCCUGACAGCAGGUGUGG
rnacentral:lncRNA from 1 species